GAGUUUGAUCCUGGCUCAGAUUGAACGCUGGCGGCAGGCCUAACACAUGCAAGUCGAGCGGUAGAGAGAAGCUUGCUUCUCUUGAGAGCGGCGGACGGGUGAGUAAUGCCUAGGAAUCUGCCUGGUAGUGGGGGAUAACGCUCGGAAACGGACGCUAAUACCGCAUACGUCCUACGGGAGAAAGCAGGGGACCUUCGGGCCUUGCGCUAUCAGAUGAGCCUAGGUCGGAUUAGCUAGUUGGUGAGGUAAUGGCUCACCAAGGCGACGAUCCGUAGCUGGUCUGAGAGGAUGAUCAGUCACACUGGAACUGAGACACGGUCCAGACUCCUACGGGAGGCAGCAGUGGGGAAUAUUGGACAAUGGGCGAAAGCCUGAUCCAGCCAUGCCGCGUGUGUGAAGAAGGUCUUCGGAUUGUAAAGCACUUUAAGUUGGGAGGAAGGGCAGUAAAUUAAUACUUUGCUGUUUUGACGUUACCGACAGAAUAAGCACCGGCUAACUCUGUGCCAGCCG
rnacentral:rRNA from 1 species